rfam:Sclerotinia sclerotiorum 1980 scaffold_9 genomic scaffold, whole genome shotgun sequence.
UCCCUCGUGGCGCAAUUGGCUAGCGCGUUCGACUGUUAAUUCGUUUACAAUUACGGAGAUAUGAGAUCGAGAGGUUGGUGGUUCGAGCCCACCCGAGGGAG